rnacentral:rRNA from 1 species
CCUACGGGAGGCAGCAGUGGGGGAUAUUGCACAAUGGGGGGAACCCUGAUGCAGCGACGCCGCGUGGGUGAAGGAGCGUUUCGGCGCGUAAAGCCCUAUCGGCAGGGAAGCAGGAGGACGGUACCUGACUAAGAAGCCCCGGCUAACUACGUGCCAGCCGCCGCGGUACUACAUAGGGGGCAAGCGUUAUCCGGCUUUACUGGGUGUAAAGGGGGCGCAGACGGCAGCGCAAGCCAGGAGGGAAAGCCCGGGGCCCAACCCCGGGACUGCUCUUGAAACUGGGCGGCGGGAGUGCAGGAGGGGCAGGCGGAAUUCCUGGUGUAGCGGUGAAAUGCGUAGAGAUCAGGAGGAACACCGGUGGCGAAGGCGGCCUGCUGGACUGCGACUGACGUUGAGGCCCGAAAGCGUGGGGAGCAAACAGGAUUAGAUACCCUUGUAGUC